ACCCGGAGUGUGUGGGGAGGAGGCGUGCAGGAGCUGCCGGGCCGAGGAGGGCAGAGGCGAAGUGUGAGCGGAUGGGCGAAAGGCGGCUUUCUCCAGCUCGGAGCUCCGCGACGUGGAGACACUCCCCCGACCCUCCCCCCGACCCCUCUCCACCCCCACACCCCGCAGCUGCUACUGCCUGCCUCCAGCCGGCUGCCACGAAAACCCGGAACAGCUGCGUGCGCUCCUGGAAAGUCCUCCUAGUGCUAAGCCGGGCAGCUGGGCAUGCUCAGUAGCUGGGGGAGGCUUGCGUGGAGAGUAGAAAGCUUUGGCUUAGCCUCCCACCCCCUCCCGCUGGCCCCGGCCCCCCUUGCCGCUACCCUGCCAGUAGUAGUUGCCCGGCGUGCGCCCGGGGAGACCCGGAACAUGGCGCUCCGAGCGUUGUAGAAGCCGAGGAGGAGAAGGGGAUGAGGCACCGCCGCCGCGCUGACAGCCAGCAACCAGAAAUACACUGUGGCAAAAUGCUUCGACCUCUUGCCAAAAUGAACACUGAGGAAAAAUGAAGAACGGUGAAGAACGCCAACGAAAAGCUGCAGACCAGAAAUAGCCACACUCCUCUGGAGUCUGAUUCAUCCACAGCCAUCAUAAAAAAAGGUU